GAUGAACGCUGGCGGCGUACCUAAUACAUGCAAGUCGAGCGAACAGACGAGGAGCUUGCUCCUCUGACGUUAGCGGCGGACGGGUGAGUAACACGUGGAUAACCUACCUAUAAGACUGGGAUAACUUCGGGAAACCGGAGCUAAUACCGGAUAAUAUAUUGAACCGCAUGGUUCAAUAGUGAAAGACGGUUUUGCUGUCACUUAUAGAUGGAUCCGCGCCGCAUUAGCUAGUUGGUAAGGUAACGGCUUACCAAGGCGACGAUGCGUAGCCGACCUGAGAGGGUGAUCGGCCACACUGGAACUGAGACACGGUCCAGACUCCUACGGGAGGCAGCAGUAGGGAAUAUUCCGCAAUGGGCGAAAGCCUGACGGAGCAACGCCGCGUGAGUGAUGAAGGUCUUCGGAUCGUAAAACUCUGUUAUUAGGGAAGAAAAAAUGUGUAAGUAACUAUGCACGUCUUGACGGUACCUAAUCAGAAAGCCACGGCUAACUACGUG
rnacentral:rRNA from 1 species